AGAGUUUGAUUAUGGCUCAGGAUGAACGCUGGCGGCGUGCUUAACACAUGCAAGUCGAACGCUGAAGCCCCAGCUUGCUGGGGUGGAUGAGUGGCGAACGGGUGAGUAACACGUGAGUAACCUUCCCUUGACUCUGGGAUAAGCCCGGGAAACUGGGUCUAAUACCGGAUACGACCUCCUGCCGCAUGGUGUGGGGGUGGAAAGAUUUAUCGGUUUUGGAUGGACUCGCGGCCUAUCAGCUUGUUGGUGAGGUAAUGGCUCACCAAGGCGACGACGGGUAGCCGGCCUGAGAGGGUGACCGGCCACACUGGGACUGAGACACGGCCCAGACUCCUACGGGAGGCAGCAGUGGGGAAUAUUGCACAAUGGGCGCAAGCCUGAUGCAGCGACGCCGCGUGAGGGAUGACGGCCUUCGGGUUGUAAACCUCUUUCAGUAGGGAAGAAGCGAAAGUGACGGUACCUGCAGAAGAAGCGCCGGCUAACUACGUGCCAGCAGCCGCGGUAAUACGUAGGGCGCGAGCGUUAUCCGGAAUUAUUGGGCGUAAAGAGCUCGUAGGCGGUUUGUCGCGUCUGCCGUGAAAGUCCGGGGCUUAACCCCGGAUCUGCGGUGGGUACGGGCAGACUAGAGUGCAGUAGGGGAGACUGGAAUUCCUGGUGUAGCGGUGAAAUGCGCAGAUAUCAGGAGGAACACCGAUGGCGAAAGCAGGUCUCUGGGCUGUUACUGACGCUGAGGAGCGAAAGCAUGGGGAGCGAACAGGAUUAGAUACCCUGGUAGUCCAUGCCGUAAACGUUGGGCACUAGGUGUGGGGGACAUUCCACGUUCUCCGCGCCGCAGCUAACGCAUUAAGUGCCCCGCCUGGGGAGUA
rnacentral:rRNA from 1 species